CGGACCGGCGCGACGGGUGAGUAACGCGUAUGCAACCUACCUAUCAGAGGGGAAUAACCCGGCGAAAGUCGGACUAAUACCGCAUAAAACAGGGGUUCCACAUGGAAAUAUUUGUUAAAGAAUUAUCGCUGAUAGAUGGGCAUGCGUUCCAUUAGAUAGUUGGUGAGGUAACGGCUCACCAAGUCCACGAUGGAUAGGGGUUCUGAGAGGAAGGUCCCCCACACUGGUACUGAGACACGGACCAGACUCCUACGGGAGGCAGCAG
rnacentral:rRNA from 1 species